rnacentral:rRNA from 1 species
UACGAAGGGGGCUGGCGUUGCUCGGAAUCACUGGGCGUAAAGCGCACGUAGGCGGAUUCUUAAGUCAGGGGUGAAAUCCUGGAGCUCAACUCCAGAACUGCCUUUGAUACUGGCGAUCUCGAGUCCGGGAGAGGUGAGUGGAACUGCGAGUGUAGAGGUGAAAUUCGUAGAUAUUCGCAAGAACACCAGUGGCGAAGGCGGCUCACUGGCCCGGUACUGACGCUGAGGUGCGAAAGCGUGGGGAGCAAACAGG